rnacentral:rRNA from 1 species
AACGAACGCUGGCGGCAUGCCUAACACAUGCAAGUCGAACGAGACCUUCGGGUCUAGUGGCGCACGGGUGCGUAACGCGUGGGAACCUGCCCUUAGGUUCGGAAUAACUCCCCGUAAGGGGUGCUAAUACCGGAUAAUGUCUUCGGACCAAAGAUUUAUCGCCUUUGGAUGGGCCCGCGUUGGAUUAGCUAGUUGGUAGGGUACAAGCCUACCAAGGCGACGAUCCAUAGCUGGUCUGAGAGGAUGAUCAGGCACACUGGGACUGAGACACGGCCCAGACUCCUACGGGAGGCAGCAGUGGGGAAUAUUGGACAAUGGGCGAAAGCCUGAUCCGGCAAUGCCGCGGGAGUGAUGAAGGCCUUAGGGUUGUAAAGCUCUUUUACCCGGGAUGAUAAUGACAGUACCGGGAGAAUAAGCUCCGGCUAACUCCGUG